CUUACACAUGCAAGUCGAACGGGCAGCACGGGUGCUUGCACCUGGUGGCGAGUGGCGAACGGGUGAGUAAUACAUCGGAACAUGUCCUGUAGUGGGGGAUAGCCCGGCGAAAGCCGGAUUAAUACCGCAUACGAUCUACGGAUGAAAGCGGGGGACCUUCGGGCCUCGCGCUAUAGGGUUGGCCGAUGGCUGAUUAGCUAGUUGGUGGGGUAAAGGCCUACCAAGGCGACGAUCAGUAGCUGGUCUGAGAGGACGACCAGCCACACUGGGACUGAGACACGGCCCAGACUCCUACGGGAGGCAGCAGUGGGGAAUUUUGGACAAUGGGCGAAAGCCUGAUCCAGCAAUGCCGCGUGUGUGAAGAAGGCCUUCGGGUUGUAAAGCACUUUUGUCCGGAAAGAAAUCCUUGGUUCUAAUAUAGCCGGGGGAUGACGGUACCGGAAGAAUAAGCACCGGCUAACUACGUGCCAGCAGCCGCGGUAAUACGUAGGGUGCGAGCGUUAAUCGGAAUUACUGGGCGUAACGCGUGCGCAGGCGGUUUGCUAAGACCGAUGUGAAAUCCCCGGGCUCAACCUGGGAACUGCAUUGGUGACUGGCAGGCUAGAGUAUGGCAGAGGGGGGUAGAAUUCCACGUGUAGCAGUGAAAUGCGUAGAGAUGUGGAGGAA
rnacentral:rRNA from 1 species